AAUCAACGCUGGCGGCGUGCCUCAGACAUGCAAGUCGAACGAGAACCUCCCUUCGGGGAGGGACGAGUGCGCACGGGUGAGUAACACGUGGGUGACCUGCCCUCACGCUCUGGGAUAAGGCCUGGGAAACCCGGGUCGUAAUACUGGAUAUGACUCCAUGACGCAUGUUGUGGGGUGGAAAGCCUUGUGCGGCUGAGGAU
rnacentral:rRNA from 1 species